rnacentral:rRNA from 1 species
AUUAGAUAAAAAGCCAAUGCCCUUCGGGGCUUUCUGGUGAUUCAUAAUAACUAAACGAAUCGCAUGGCCUUGCGCCGGCGAUGGUUCAUUCAAAUUUCUGCCCUAUCAACUUUCGAUUGUAGGAUAGAGGCCUACAAUGGUUUCAACGGGUAACGGAGAAUUAGGGUUCGGUUCCGGAGAGGGAGCCUGAGAAACGGCUACCACAUCCAAGGAAGGCAGCAGGCGCGCAAAUUACCCAAUCCCGACACGGGGAGGUAGUGACAAUAAAUACUGAUACAGGGCUCUUUUGGGUCUUGUAAUUGGAAUGAGUACAAUUUAAAUCCCUUAACGAGGAACAAUUGGAGGGCAAGUCUGGUGCCAGCAGCCGCGGUAAUUCCAGCUCCAAUAGCGUAUAUUAAAGUUGUUGCAGUUAAAAAGCUCGUAGUUGAACCUUGGGUCUGGCUGGCCGGUCCGCCUCACCGCGUGCACUGGUCCGGCCGGACCUUUCCUCUUGGGGAUCCGCAUGCCCUUUGCUGGG